UAAUCCUACCUCCACGCCUGUCUGCAGUAGUUUGUAUGUAAGGGGAAGCAAGCCAAUGGUGGUGUCUUGCCGCCGGCAUUCCUGCAUCCUCUCUGCUAUCCAACAAAGACACAGAAAGAAGUCAUGGCCUCCUCCAUUAUUCUCUCGUCCUUGUUUCUCCCGAGUCAAUUCAGCAACUCGAGUCGAGUUCAUUUCAAACCGUACUGUCCCCCGACCUGUGAACGCACUAGUUUCGCGACAAAAAUUCGCGCUUCUUCCACCGCCUUUGCCGAGACUAAGCCAACGGGUCCCGUGACAGUUGAAAAGGAUGUCUGUAGCAGCAAGAACAUCCUAGCCUGUCCCGUAUCUUACGAGCCCGUGACUUUGAUUGGCGCAACCGUCCUAUCUGUAGAUUCUGCACGUGGAUCUAGUUUGCAGUGAAGCACUUGUAAGAAGACAUGCUCUGGCAAGGAAACACAUCUUGAAUUGACGGUAGCUAGUGGGUCUAAGGAAUAUGGUGAUGCUAUGCCUUUGGCCAUUGAAUUUUUCAAGUGUGAAUAAAAUAGUUGUUGCGAUAUUCAUGAGUAAGAUAGUGCUUGAGGAAAUGGUGCUUGUUGCAAAUUUGGGACCUGGAUAAUGUUCAUACAUUUUCGCACUAAGACCAUUGCAGAGUACUAGUAAGAAGAUUUGUGUCCAUCCUGAGGCAAUUCAAAUACAGGAUAGGGUCAAUUAUCAAUUGUAGUUAUUAAUUUUUAUUAGAUAGAUUCCGGACCUAUCAUGCUUUACAAUGAUGUUUUUCAUUUCCAAAACUAGAAAUUGCCUCCAAGAUGACAAGCUAGUCUUUUUAAACCAUCUAUUUUGUCAUGCUAGCGAAAGGUCAAAUUUCUUGCCGCUAAACUUUCAGCCUGGUAUUUUUUGGAUUCUAUUGCAUGCUCUAGAUGGCGGUGCCCCAAUUCUGUCAUUGUAAAUUCCAUUUUGAAGGGAUUGGUGUCUGUUGAUUCCCACAACCAAUCUGGGCUUCGUUAAUCUUGGCUAAAUCCAUUUACAGCCCCAGACAACCUAUUCUGGAAUUUCUUUGGGGAAAUUGCAUCUGUUGCCUAGAUACAGCAGGAAAUUUUAUAGGACUGACUUGGUUUCCAUGCAUUGAAUAAAUACAAAUUUCAAUAGGAAUAUAUAAUCAUCAGCCUGAUGCAUUUCAUGCUAUCCCGCAUGAUCAGUAUGAGUGCUUCUCAUUAAAAUCUUGGUCACGCCCUCCUUGUCUUGUUUUUCUGAAUCAGAACUCCAUUCAUGUCAUUCCUUUACGAGAGAGAGAGGUUGGCAUCAAAAUUUUGUAUGGGAUGGUUUUCCAGGCCCAGAGAAAGAGUUUGAAUUGAUGAAGGAUUACCUCAAGCCAGUUUUAGGUGGUAAUAUUCUAGAUGCUAGUUGUGGUAGUGGUUUAUUUUCAAGACUAUUCACCAAGAGUGGGUUGUUUUCUCUUGUCAUGGCUCUGGAUUACUCAGAAAACAUGCUGCAACAGUGCUAUGAUUCAUCAAGAGAGUAGCUUAAGUAAGUUGAGUUUUGAGGCCUGGAGGAGUGUUCGUUGCCACCACCUACAUACUUGAUGGGCAUUUCAGUCUCAUCUGAUUUUUGAAGCCUAUAAGCCAGAGAUUCACACAAGUGUCAGGCAGCAACAUCUUCUUAUCUGAACGUGAACUAGAAGACGUCUGUAGAGCCUGUGAACUAGUUGAUUUUACAUGUACAAGAAAUGAGCGGUUUGUGAUGUUUUCUACAACAAAACCCAGCUAAGCUUCCCAUGCUGCUUUAAUCCUUCCUCUCAAAUUAUGUUAAUACCUGUUUGAUUGUUUUGUAUCUCCUAUAUACCUAGGUGAUAUAUUUUGUAUUGACAAGGUGCAUGAAGACCACGUUAUUGAUUAUAUAUCAUUAUAGAAUGCUAUUAA